GAUGAACGCUGGCGGCGUGCCUAAUACAUGCAAGUCGAGCGAACAGACGAGGAGCUUGCUCCUCUGACGUUAGCGGCGGACGGGUGAGUAACACGUGGAUAACCUACCUAUAAGACUGGGAUAACUUCGGGAAACCGGAGCUAAUACCGGAUAAUAUAUUGAACCGCAUGGUUCAAUAGUGAAAGACGGUUUUGCUGUCACUUAUAGAUGGAUCCGCGCCGCAUUAGCUAGUUGGUAAGGUAACGGGCUACCAAGGCAACGAUGCGUAGCCGACCUGAGAGGGUGAUCGGCCACACUGGAACUGAGACACGGUCAUGAGUCCUACGGGAGGCAGCAGUAGGGAAUCUUCCGCAGUGGGCGAGAGCCUGACGGAGCAACGCCGCGUGAGUGAUGAAAGUCUUCGGAUCGUAAAGCUCUGUUAUUAGGGAAGAACAAAUGUGUAAGUAACUAUGCACGUCUUGACGGUACCUAAUCAGAAAGCCACGGCUAACUACGUG
rnacentral:rRNA from 1 species